GUCCCAGGGGGACAAGCCGGGCAGCUCCGGAGAGAAGGCCCUGGGCAGGCCCCACCAGGACCUCCGGGCCUCGGUUACUCAUCCCAGGGAUCACAGAGCAGCAUCUAGUGGCCCUUCUGGGCAGCACAGAUUACAUAACCAGUACACAGCAGGCCAGCAGAGCCAGCAGUCUGUCUCUGCUCCCACACCUCCAAGAAAGUCCUGGCACCAUGAAGGCUGGGGAUCAGGAAGGAACCUAGUGCAUCAGAGUUCAAACCAGCGACACUGCAAGGGCUCAACAGCCACCAAGAGCUGGUGGCUACAUGUUGGACAGUGCGAGUCUAGAAGUCAUUGGACUAGCAUCCACAAAGGAAGCAAAGAGAAGGGCCGAGGCCCUGAGCUCCUUGGGAAAUCCACUCCCCUCUGCUGGUAGAAGUUCUUCAUGGAAGCAACACUCUUUUUUUGCAGGUAAAAUACAGAUACAAUACUAAAAUAAUGGCUGAGUUGCUCAGACUGAGGAGGAGUUGGCAGGCCCUCCAGUGACUCCAGAGCCCCCUCAGAAGAACCAUUCCUGGGGUCUGAGGGAAGUAUGAAAAUCACAUCUGAAAAUUCUAAAGGAAACCAAACCACUAGUGAUCAGGACCCUCCAGGUACUUGCAGUUCCAUUACAGGUGUCCCUUGGUAUCUGAAGGGAGUCAGACCCAGGACCCCCAUGGAUACCAAAAUCUACGGUGCUCCAGUACCCUAUAUAAAAUGGUGUGUUAUUUGUAUAUAACCUCCACACAUCCUCCCAUAUACUUUAAAUCACCUCUAGAUUUUUUUUUAAUACCCAAUUCAAUACAAACACUAAAUAAAUAGUUGUUAAACUGAUUAUUUUGGGAAUGACCAGGGCAAAAGUCUAUAUAUGUUCACACCAUGUGCAACCAAUACAUUUUUUUUUUUGAGAGGUUUUCGCCAUAGGGCGCGUGCACUCGCCAGACAGACAGAG